rnacentral:rRNA from 1 species
UACGAAGGGGGCUAGCGUUGCUCGGAAUUACUGGGCGUAAAGGGCGCGUAGGCGGACAGUUUAGUCAGAGGUGAAAGCCCAGGGCUCAACCUUGGAAUUGCCUUUGAUACUGGCUGUCUUGAGUUCGGGAGAGGUGGGUGGAAUGCCGAGUGUAGAGGUGAAAUUCGUAGAUAUUCGGCGGAACACCAGUGGCGAAGGCGACUCACUGGCCCGAUACUGACGCUGAGGCGCGAAAGCGUGGGGAGCAAACAGG